AGGAAGUUGCCUUCUGUUUCUGCUCUCUACACCCAAAGAGCUGGUGACUGGCUACCAGAAGGCAGAGGGCAUCCACUGUCUUCACCAAUGAUUCCACGUAAUCCUCAAACACCUGGAGAAUGGGCGCUGGAGAGCUACUGCCCUAAGCCUCACUUCCCACAACCUUGCUCGCUAGCAUAAAAACAACCCACGUGGCAAGAAAAUGGCUUCUGCUUUACUUUGGCCUUCUAGAUCUGCAGGAGGACAGCUAAAUGAUGGGGCUGAACAUUUGGAACUCUGCCUGCAAGAGCAACCGCUAGAAGGUUAGAUUCCUGGAAAUAGAAUUAUCGAGUCAAAGGCAGAAACAUUUUUGAGGUUCCUGAUAGGAAAUAUAUUUGAGAAAAAAAAUCCAACCAAGAUUUUGUCUGGAAGAAAACUUCAUAACACAGUACAUGAAUCAGUCAGAUUGUUGCUACAUUCAUCCUGUUUUUACUGUUUUUGUUUUAAUGUGACCAUGGAAACAUGAAGAGCAGCUAAUAAAUCCUUGAUGAUACUCAGGCUGCAUUUGAUUUUACUGUCAUCCCAUAUCUGCUGUUACUGUUGGGUUAAUUACACAUAAUUUACCAGAUGGCAAGAGUGGGCUCAUGUCAUAUAAUUUUUUAUUCA